AGCAGUCGCCGCGGGAAUACGUAGGGUGCAAGCGUUGUCCGGAAUUACUGGGCGUAAAGAGUUCGUAGGCGGUUUGUCGCGUCGUUUGUGAAAACCAGCAGCUCAACUGCUGGCUUGCAGGCGAUACGGGCAGACUUGAGUACUGCAGGGGAGACUGGAAUUCCUGGUGUAGCGGUGAAAUGCGCAGAUAUCAGGAGGAACACCGGUGGCGAAGGCGGGUCUCUGGGCAGUAACUGACGCUGAGGAACGAAAGCGUGGGUAGCGAACAGGAUUAGAUACCCGCGUAGUCCCUGUCUCUUAUAC
rnacentral:rRNA from 1 species